rnacentral:lncRNA from 1 species
AUGGAUGAAAAUACGAAGAUUAAUGAGGAUUGCACUAGUGCUAAAAGGCCAAUAAAAAUGACGGAGAAAGCAAAGGAAGAAAGAUUGCAAAGGCUUUUGCAGUCAAGGAAAGCUAAACUUGCUCAGCUCACAAGUAAAUCUAAGGAAAUUGAACAACUUAUGGAUGAUUCUGCACAUAUUGACAUUGUUCGAACUAAACUGGAAACUGAGUACAAACAUUUGUAUAAAGACUUCUGUCAGCUGAAUCAUGCUGUUGAGGAGUACAUGUCUGAUGAAGAUUAUGCAAAGGACCAGCAUACAUGGUUUGAACCAAGAGUCAGCUCAUGUGAAAGAUUUAUUAAUGCAGUCAACAGGUGGAUGAAACAGGUUGCAGAAAAUGCUGAGCAAGCAAUACAGUGUGAUCUAGAAGUGAAUCCUGAUGAUAGCAUUUCCUCUGUGUCAGUGACUUCCAGUAAGAAACAUAAGAAACAUGGGUCAGUAGAUGGCAGAUCUACAGCUUCUACAACUUCUUCUGCACGAAUAUCUGCUGAAGCAGAAAGAGCUGCACUGCUUGUUAAACAUGCUGCAUUGAAGAAGAAACAAGCUAUUGAACGACAAGAGGCUGAACUAAAAGCAAAAAGGGAAGAAUUUGAGCUAGAAGUUGCCCUUGCAGUGUCAGAUGCUAAGAUUAAAGUUAUUAAGCAGUAUGAAAGUUGUCGGUCUUCAGCAGUAAGUCACAAGGGAAUGGAUCUGGAAACAGGUAGCAUAACACCUCGUGAAGAUGUACUGAAACAGGAAAGUCUGCUUGAUAAUGUUUUUCAACCUCUUAGGCCACAGUCAACUAAUAACUCCAUCCCAAAUGAGCCUUCUACAGGUAGAGAGGGAAACGUAGUUGGUACAUUAUGUAAUGCUAUGGAGCGACAAGCCAGCAUCACUGAGUGCUUAGUGAAGCAUCAAAAAAUGUCCAUGCUUCCUUCAAUUGACAUACCUAUUUUCAAAGGAGAUCCUCUCGAUUAUAAGCUGUUCAUUCGGGCCUUCGAACAUGGCGUUGAAGAACGUACCGAUAAUGAUAAAGACCGUUUGUACUUCAUGGAACAGUACACGACUGGAAAGCCUAAGGAACUGGUUCGUAGCUGUCUACAUAUGAAUCCAGCAGAAGGCUAUCUUAAGGCAAAGCAGCUUCUGAGAGAGCAUUUUGGAAAUGAGUAUCAGAUUGCAGACGCAUACAUGAGCAAAGCUCUACACUGGCCUUCCAUCAAACCUGAAGAUGGAGAAGCACUUCACUCCUUUUCAUUGUUUCUGUCAGGAUGCUGCAAUGCAAUGUCAGAUAUAAGUUACAUGGAAGAGAUGGAUAAUGCAGCAAAUCUAAGAGCCAUCGUGGUGAAACUUCCAUUCAAAUUAAGAGAAAAAUGGCGAUCGGUGGCAUGUGAUAUUCAAGAGAAGCAAAAUGCUAGAGUGAAGUUCAAAGAUUUAGUUGAUUUCAUUAAUAAGCAGGCAAGGAUUUCUCUCCAUCCAGUGUUUGGAGACAUAAAAGAUAUUUCAGCAGCUAAAGGACAUGCUAAGUCACAAGCAGAAGCAAGCGCUUAUAAAAAGGCUGUAACAAAAAGGGUCUUCACGACUAGUGCUGUACCAGUUGACAAAAAGGUUGAAGAUGAUGACACACUUGCAGUUCAAAGAUCGCAAAAUAAACAUGCCAGCAACCAGAAGAAACCAUGUCUUUUUUGUAAAGUACUGCAACACAAUCUGGAAUCCUGUAAAAGAUUGAGAAGCAAGACACAUCAAGAGAAAAUUGACUUUUUGCGAACCAAAGGAUUGUGUUUUGGCUGUUUAAAGCAUGGUCACAUGAGCAAACAAUGCAAAGAUAGAAUGAGCUGCAGUGAAUGUUCUUUGCCACAUCCAACCAUACUGCAUAUGAAGUCAAAGGAAACUGCUUGUCUUCAGGAAGACAAAAUGGAUAGCUGUGAAAGACAGUCUGUUACUAGUGCACUAGUCUGUGCAAAAAAGGACGCAAGUGGAGAGGAAGAUACCUGUGAGACUGAAUGUACUUUGUCAAUUGUUCCUGUACAAGUUAAGACUACUAAAGGUACACAACUGGUCAAAACGUAUGCCUUUCUCGACCCAGGAAGUUCAGAUACUUUUUGUACAGAAGCGUUGAUGUCUGAGCUGAAAGUGAAUGGAAGAAAGACUGAUAUACUUCUAAAAACCAUGGGAGAUGAAAAACAAGUCAAAACUCACAUAGUGUCUGGGUUGGAGAUUAGUAGUCUAGAUGGUGACGAGUUUGUUCCACUUCCAGACGUCUUCACACAGAAAACAAUUCCAGUUCACAAGAGUAACAUUCCACAGCAAAAGGAUUUGGAGAGAUGGCCGUAUCUUAAAGAGGUUUGUCUCCCUAGUAUUGAAGCAAAAAUUGGACUACUAAUAGGAGCUAAUGUGCCUGAAGUCAUGGAGCCUUGGCAAGUUAUUAGUAGUAAAGACAAUGGACCUUUUGCUGUUAGAACCAAGUUGGGCUGGACAGUCAAUGGGCCUCUCAGGAAUAGUAAUGAUGUCACAAGAAAAGGAAGGUGUGCUCCAGUAUCGGUGAAUCGCAUAUCAGUAGCCAGAUUAGAAGACUUGUGGCAACAGCAAUUCAAGCAGGAUUUCCCUGAAGCAGAAAAGGAUGAUCAAGUGGAAAUGUCCAAGGAAGACCUCCAAUUUAUGAAAAUGAUGUCUGAGUCAGCUAAGCUUGUAGAUGGUCAUUACAGCUUGUGCCUGCCUUUGAAGAACAAGGCUAUUCAGAUGCCAAAUAAUCGUGUGGUGGCUGAACAACGGGCUCUGAAUUUGAAAAGAAAAUUCAUCAGAAAUCCUGAUUUCCACACAGAGUAUACAUCUUUCAUGAACAGUCUCAUCAAAAUGAUUAUGCUGUUGAGCUCACAAAAGACAACCACAAGAAAACCGAUGGCAAAAUAUGGUACAUACCUCACCAUGGGGUGUACCAUCCCGUCAAGCACAAACUGA